GACUGUUGUCUGCUUACAUAAAGGUGAAAUAUACGUAACAGCAACUUCAAUAUAAAACUGCCAGAAUAAAGAUCGAUUAUCCUUACAAACCUGAGAAAAGAAGGCUUAACAACAGACACAUAGCAAUAGGAGUUGCACACAGAAUGAAUAGGACAUCACCACAACAUUUUAACAAUCAUAAAAGGAGACUCAUGGUUUGUUUGUUUCUAGGGAACGCAAGUAGUUUAGACCACCUUGAAAGUAGUUGACUAGGGUUUCUUGUUGUGGCAUGCUUUCGUGUAUAAUAGGAAUCUCUUUGAAGUUUUCAGCCCAUUGAUGGAGUGAAGGGAACUUCUCUGGAUCAAGUAGCUUCACAUUUCCUACUUCCUCCAUGGCACUGAGCCAAAGAGUUUUCCAACCCAUCACUAGAUCCAGGUAGCCUAUCUGCUCCCCGCCAAAAAACUUCUUGCCUUCAAUUUGCUUCUCGAUAAAUGCAUACAAUUCUUGUACUGACUCUAUAGUUUUUGCUUUUGCCUCUCCUUCAUCUUGCAUUGCCAUAGCUUGCCAUGAUCCUAUGACACACUGAACAUGAAAAUUAACACAAUCAGAAAGCUAUCAUUUAGUCAUUUGCUAUUCUUGUCUAUGAUAUUUUAUCAGAUGCAUUAACUUGUAUAGCAUGAUUUCUUAACCAUUAAAUUGUUGUCAAUUGCAUUCUUCACACCAAAUUACUUGAAAUGGUUCCAUAUAUUAGAUUGCAGUUGACUGAAGAUCAUGUUUAUGGUCUCAUAAUUUAAGUUAUGAACGUUACUGUCUUAGUACAUAUAUCUGCUAGCUUUUGUACAACAACAUAUCCAGUGUAGUCAUACACAGUGGGGUCUGUGGAGGGUAGUGUGUACGCAGACCUUACCUCUACCUCAUAAGUGACAAAAAACAGUCUAGGAAUUAAUCUGCUAAGUUUUUGUAUGCCUUAUAAUAUGAAGAAUUGGAUUAUGCCAAGAAAGAAAAUCUUACCUUGUCAUCAACAAAUUUUGCCCAGAAACGAGCUGUAGCUCGUUCAUGAGGAUCCUGAGGCAACAAAGAGUAUCCUUUCCAUGUUUCAUCAAUAUAUUCAAGGAUAACAAGUGAUUCAACGACGGGUUUGUCAUCGUGUAGUAGGACAGGG
rnacentral:lncRNA from 1 species